rnacentral:rRNA from 1 species
AUUGAACGCUGGCGGCAGGCCUAACACAUGCAAGUCGAGCGGAAGAAGGGAGCUUGCUCCUGGUUUCAGGGGCGGAGGGGGGGGUAGUGCCGAGGAACCUGCCUGGCUGUGGGGGAGAAGGUCCGGAAACGGGCGCAAAUACCGCAUACGUCCUGAGGGCGAACGUGGGGGAUCUUCGGACCUCACGCUAUUGGAUGACCCUAGGUCGGAUUAGCUAGUUGGUGGGGUAAGGGCCUACCAAGGCGACGAUCCGUAACUGGUCUGAGAGGAUGAUCAGUCACACUGGAACUGAGACACGGUCCAGACUCCUACGGGAGGCAGCAGUGGGGAAUAUUGGACAAUGGGCGAAAGCCUGAUCCAGCCAUGCCGCGUGUGUGAAGAAGGUCUUCGGAUUGUAAAGCACUUUAAGUUGGGAGGAAGGGCAGUAAGUUAAUACCUUGCUGUUUUGACGUUACCAACAGAAUAAGCACCGGCUAACUUCGUG